ACCUACGUAUCACCGCGGGGGUUAAGUCCCGCAACGAGCGCAACCCUUGAUCUUAGUUGCCAGCAUUCAGUUGGGCACUCUAAGGUGACUGGCCGGUGACAAACCGGAGGAAGGUGGGGAUGACGUCAAAUCAUCAUGCCCCUUAUGACCUGGGCUACACACGUGCUACAAUGGACAGAACAAAGGGCUGCAAGACCGCAAGGUUUAGCCAAUCCCAUAAAUCUGUUCUCAGUUCGGAUCGCAGUCUGCAACUCGACUGCGUGAAGCUGGAAUCGCUAGUAAUCGCGGAUCAGCAUGCCGCGGUGAAUACGUUCCCGGGCCUUGUACACACCGCCCGUCACACCACGAGAGUUUGCAACACCCGAAGUCGGUGAGGUAACCUUUAUGGAGCCAGCCGCCGAAGGUGGGGCAGAUGAUUGGGGUGAAGUC
rnacentral:rRNA from 1 species